rnacentral:lncRNA from 1 species
UGCUUGCCCCCGUAAGACGGCCUGAUGUGCACACCUGCCCACAGUCCUGUGCCCAGGUUAGGAGGUCAGGUGAGGAUGGCGCUCAGGUGAGGUUCCACAUUAACUCGUCGUUCCUAGACUUGAAAGUUUCAAUCCGGGGAAAGCCGGGGCAGAAGCAGUAAACGCCUCCUUCGUGUUGCUCCCCUGCUGCAUGGAGAUGACCCACAGAUGGUCCUCGUCUCCUGCCCACACCAGGAAGGUCUUACUGUCCUUUUGCCAGAUGCAACGGGCUUCGAGCCAGGCCAUGCCCGAGACCAGCAACAGUGGCGGCACCGGCUCGUGGAAGAGGAAGUGGCUGUCAAUGAGCUGCUGUUGCUCCUCCGCAUCCGUCCAGCUCUUAUCCGGGCCCUCCAGGUCGCGGUCCAGGCUCGAGGGCAUCCACCGCGGGUCCCAGCGGAGGCAAAAGCCACGUCCUUGUGCACGGACCUGAGCUUCCCCUGGAGAUUGGGAGAAAUGAGAUGCAGCCUUCACCUCUACACCUGUCACUGUUAACAUUCAGGACACAAGGCACCUAUCAAUGACAUUUUACAUUUUUGGUGGGAGAAGAGGAACAGUAAGAGGAUUAGCAGAUCUUUAAGAUAUAAACCUUCCCACUUAUCCUAGAAAAUAGAUCCUAGGGCGGGCGUGGUGGUUCAUACCUGUAAUCCCAGCACUUUGGGAGGCCGAGGCAGGUGGAUCAUCUGAGGUCAGGAGUUCGAGACCACCCUGGCCAACAUGAUGAAACUCUGUCUCUACUAAAAAUACAAAAAUUAGCUGGGCGUUGUGGCACAUGCCUGUAAUCCCAGCUACUGGGGAGGCUGAAGCAGGAGAAUAACUUAAACCCGGGAGGCAGAGGUUGCAGUGAGCCGAGAUCAUGCCACUGCAUGCCAGCCUGGGCAACAGAGCAAGACUCCAUCUCAAAAGAGAAAAGAAAAGAAAUCCUGAGUUAUAAAUUAGAGGGCUUUGUUUCUUUCUUGGUUUUUUUUUUGUUUGUUUUUGUUUUUUCUAGAAGCUUUGGGAAUCAUCACAAUGCUACAAAUGUGGUCAUGGCUUGUUUAUUCCUUUAUUUUUUUUUAACAAAUUUAAUAUAUUUGCACAAAGGAAUCAUUGUCCAAUAACAAUAACAAAAAUGAAUACAAAUAACUGUCCAGCUGGGAGCAGUGGACUCACAUCUGUAAACCUAACACUUUGGGAGGCCGAGGCAGGAGAAUCGCUUGAGCCCAAGAAUUUAAGACCAGCCUGGGAAACAUAAUGAGG